rnacentral:rRNA from 1 species
CUACGUGCCAGCAGCCGCGGUAAUACGUAGGGCGCGAGCGUUGUCCGGAAUUAUUGGGCGUAAGGAGCUUGUAGGCGGUUGGUCGCGUCUGCUGUGAAAGGCUGGGGCUUAACCCUGGUUUUGCAGUGGGUACGGGCUAACUAGAGUGCAGUAGGGGAGACUGGAAUUCCUGGUGUAGCGGUGGAAUGCGCAGAUAUCAGGAGGAACACCGAUGGCGAAGGCAGGUCUCUGGGCUGUAACUGACGCUGAGAAGCGAAAGCAUGGGGAGCGAACAGGAUUAGAUACCCUGGUAGUCCAUGCCGUAAACGUUGGGCACUAGGUGUGGGGGACAUUCCACGUUUUCCGCGCCGUAGCUAACGCAUUAAGUGCCCCGCCUGGGGAGUACGGCCGCAAGGCUAAAACUCAAAGAAAUUGACGGGGGCCCGCACAAGCGGCGGAGCAUGCGGAUUAAUUCGAUGCAACGCGAAGAACCUUACCAAGGCU